rnacentral:rRNA from 1 species
AGCAGCCGCGGUAAUUCCAGCUCCAAUAGCGUAUAUUAAAGUUGUUGCAGUUAAAAAGCUCGUAGUUGAAUUUCGGGGUCAGUAGUUUGGUCGUGCCACUGGUAUGUACUGGGCUCACUGAUUCCUCCUUCCUGAUGAACUGUAAUGCCAUUAAUUUGGUGUUGCGGGGAAACUGGACUGUUACUUUGAAAAAAUUAGAGUGUUUAAAGCAAGCUAACGCUUGAAUACAUUAGCAUGGAAUAAUGAAAUAGGACGUUCGAUCCUAUUUUGUUGGUUUCUAGGAUUGACGUAAUGAUUAAUAGGGAUAGUUGGGGGCAUUAGUAUUCAAUUGUCAGAGGUGAAAUUCUUGGAUUUAUUGAAGACUAACUACUGCGAAAGCAUUUGCCAAGGAUGUUUUCAUUAAUCAAGAACGAAAGUUAGGGAUCGAAGACGAUCAGAUACCGUCGUAGUCUUAACCAUAAACUAUAGCCGACUAGGGAUCGGAUGAUGUUAUUUUUAAUGACUCAUUCGCGCCUUAAC